CUGAGUUUACAACUCCCAAACCCACUGUGAACAUACCUACCGUUGCUUCGGCGGGACCGCCCCGGCGCGCCCUCAGGGGCUUGCCCGGAUCCAGGCGCCCGCCGGAGGCCCUAAACUCUUGAUUUCCCGCACUGCGGCAGUAAUUCUCUGAGUGGCAAACGCAAAAUAAAUUA
rnacentral:misc_RNA from 1 species